rnacentral:misc_RNA from 1 species
AACGCACGAGACCUGCGGACCUGCGGAAGGAUCAUUAAAGAGUUUAACUACUCAAACCAUUGUGAACCUUACCUCAACCGUUGCUUCGGCGGGCGGGCCCGGGCCAAGCCCGGCGCCCCCCCGGCCCCUCGCGGGCGCCCGCCGGAGGUUAACCGAACCCUUGAAUUGUAUGGCCUCUCUGAGUCUUCUGUACUGAAUAAGUCAAAACUUUCAGCAAUGGAUCUCUAGAUCGGAAGAGCA